AAGUAGGGGAUCGUAAGACCUUGCGCUUUUGGAGUGGCCGAUGCCUGAUUAGCUAGUUGGUGGGGUAAGGGCCUACCAAGGCAACGAUCAGUAGUUGGUCUGAGAGGACGACCAGCCACACUGGGACUGAGACACGGCCCAGACUCCUACGGGAGGCAGCAGUGGGGAAUUUUGGACAAUGGGCGAAAGCCUGAUCCAGCAAUGCCGCGUGAGUGAAGAAGGCCUUCGGGUUGUAAAGCUCUUUCAGUCGGGAAGAAAAGGUUGUGACUAAUAAUCACAACUUAUGACGGUACCGACAGAAGAAGCACCGGCUAACUACGUGCCAGCAGCCGCGGUAAUACGUAGGGUGCGAGCGUUAAUCGGAAUUACUGGGCGUAAAGGGUGCGCAGGCGGCUUUGUAAGUCAGAUGUGAAAUCCCCGGGCUUAACCUGGGAAUUGCGUUUGAAACUACAAAGCUUAGA
rnacentral:rRNA from 1 species